ensembl:lncRNA
CAAGACAGCAAUAAGAGCAGCUGAGCCAGAGGAAAUAACUGUGAGGACCAAAUAUGUUAGAUUUAAUCAUGAGAACUGCCCCUUCAUUUUACCACCAGCCAACGGUAUAUAGGACCAGAGUCUUUUAGUGUGGAGCCACUUGUGCUCAAACCUUAAGAGAUGGACACUUGACGGGAUGGAGGGGAUGGUAUAAUUUGACCUUGGAGCAAAUCUUGCAUCCUGUUUAAACAUACAACAAAAGUGAGUACACCCCUAAGUGAAAAUGUCCAAUCCCCAGUCCAUCACCUUUACCCUCACAAAUCACAGGACCAGACAAUAUGUUUAUUUCCAAAUAUAACAUACAUUUACGAAGUUAAAGUUUCAAUGUUUAACUUAACCUUUUUUCUAGAUGUACAGACUGACUGUCAUAUAUGGAUGCAUUGUAUGAUUUAGGAUUUAUGAGACAGAAAUAAUAAUAAUACGUUUUGAUAGUCAAAAAUGAAAUAUAGCGAUGUUUAAUUUUCAAACAUUGAAACCAGUCUGAAUUCUGACAUUAUGGGGAAACACAUUUUGCACUAAUAUCAGAUAAAGCAGCAAACACAUUGACCUAUCUUUUGAACUUGGCUCAUUUAAAUGAAGUGUUCGGCACUCAGCAGGUCAUGCUUUAUCCCCCAGUGGGAAUCAUUUAGAAGAAUCAAAUACCUAGACUUUUGAGUACAAAACCUGUUACACCUAUGAUCAGACCAAGAGGAUCUGGCCAAGUUCCAAGGGGAACACAAAGGCUUUAAAUCCUGUGAACAGCGCCUCCUUAGCUGAGACACCUGAGGUUCACCGUCUUUGUAGGUAGGAGUCGAACCUCAGUCUUCAGCUUGGGAGCCUGAGCAUUUACCAACAAACCCAAAAGGAAUACCCUAUCUCCUCAAGCCGUGCUACCCAACAACUAGAACAUGAUUCCAAAUCACCUCUGUCAGACUCCGAAGAUCGUGUGGCAUUAAAUAUUAUUUUUGGUAAGUUUUCUGAUUAUACUGAUGGCAGUCUUGCUUCAGUGAAAAGUAACCAAAACGGCAUUGUAAGAAUGCCUUUUUAUUUUACUGAUGUUUGAUUAGGACUAUGAGAUGUAGUGGGAUGUAUGAGCAAAAACCUCUGCUGCAUCAUGAAAGUAAUACGUUUGGUCACGUCGCAAGUGUUUGUAAAGAAAACAUUGUGUUGGAAGAGAUGGGGGAUCGAAAGUUCUGCAGUUGUGAAGGACAUCACCCCCCCCAGAGUCCCCAUUAAGUUGAAGGAAGACAGAGUAGCGAGGAGCUGGCAUGCCAAGCAGAAGUCAGGUUUAUUCUUUGUGAUCAAUAUUCCAUUGUUGAACUACAUGUUGAUACGUCGGGCUAAGCCCCCUGCUUGCCACUGUCCGCAUUAUUCUAUACAUUAUUGCCCUGCAUGUUAACAGUUUGAAAGAUUACUAGCUGUUUGUUUUAGUUAUUUCAGCACUAAUUGAUUGCUUGAACGGCACCGCAACACAUCUGUUGAAAUAAGGAUUUCGUCACCAUUUCGCACAGUCCCUAUUUCACAGCCACCAUUGGACAGUUUUUUUUGCAGAGCUCUAGAUAUGGUUGAUUGAAUCCAGUCACUGAACUCUGUUGGCCUCUCUGUGGCUUCUCUCACAGGUCUCCUUGUUUGAUUGUUUAGAGGGACUGCCUUGUCCUGGCAGUGCUUGGGUGGUGUGAUGCAUUUUCUAGUUCCUAAUUACUGAUCCAACUGUGCUCUCUUGGAUCACCAAAAACAUAAUUAUUAUUUUGUACCUGGUAUCUAAUAUGUGCAUUUGAACAACUUUAUUUCAAACUUAGAAUGCUCUUUAGUCUAUUUUCCUUCAGAUUCACAGCCCAAUGUGAUCAUUCAGAAGUGCAGUUUUUAUCCAGAAGAUCUGACAGCAUCUGUACAUUUUCAAAGGUGAUGACCAACGGUAAAGGAAGUCUUAUUUUGUGCGGUUUCUUUCAUCUGGGUCAAUGGGGAGGGUCAAUGGGAAGGGUCAAUGGGGAGGGUCAAUGGGAAGGGUCAAUGGGGAGGGUCAAUGGGGAGGGUUAAUGGGGAGGGUCAAAGGGUCAAAAGUAUGUUUGUUCUAACAAAUAUUUCACAAAAUUAAACUAAUGUCAGCGUUUUGAGUGUCAGUGUUUGAAAGUCAAAUAUGAAACAGAGUAAAGGUUCAACGUGCUAUUUGUAAUUCAGUGAAAUGAGGGAACUAUUCUGGGGUUUGAAUACUUUUGCAAGCCACUGUAUAUAUUCACAUAGUACAGGGGAAUUGCAUAGAACUUUGUACCGCUCACACUUUCCCCCCCUGGUCCUCUUUUCUUAUGUUAAGCCAGACUACCCGCUGGAUGCAGAAUGCAAAAUCAAGACAGAACUGGCAAUGAUAGCUGCAAAUAUAAUAAAAAAGCUAGAGAAUGGAGAAAUGAAGCAGCGCUGUGGAAUGGCAGUAGCUUUUGGGGUUUUGUAAUUAAUUGAUCAUAAUCUACAUUCACAAAAUGUACUGUAGGUAUGUUUUUGUUUUUGUUCUGGUUGACAGGACAAUUUUUUUCUGCAACUAUCCACACUGUUGCCUUUAUGUUAAGGAAGACCUCUCUUUUCUCUUCAGUGUGGAAAAGGUAAAAUAUUUUUUGUAGUUGUUGAACAUUAAUACAAUUUUAAUUGUGAUAUAAUCAUUAGUCCAAUUAUCUAAAGCAUUAUGUGUAAUAUGACAAAUUUUGUCUGUUGAUGGUCUGGUGAUAUUUAACACCACUGGUAUUAGUUUUUUUCAGUUUCACAGGAGCCAACUGCGUCCACACAGAACCUGCUGAGGCCUGAGGAGGACAACACACUGUUGCCAAAAAGAGUAUAUGUUUCGUACAAUAUUCAGAGAACAUCAUAUACAUAUUUAGUGUCAUUAGUACUAUAUUUAAAUGUAUUUUCUUCUUGAAGUCCAAUCCCAAAGGAGUAGUCAAAAGGCCUUAUUUCAUUGGGAGACCUUUGUUUUUGGUGUCGGAAAAACAGCAGAUUUCCGUUUUAAAUGUUUAUAAUUCUACAACAAUAGAAUCUAACUUUGCAAUCCUAGACGUGAACAAUAACAUUUCCAUGAUCUGAAUAAUUCAUUUUAGAUUCAUGUACUGUACAUUAGAAUGUCUUCAUUCCAUUCUUGGCAUUCAUUGUUAUUGGAUCUACAGGAAGUCUGGAAUAAUAGGGGUCAG